rnacentral:rRNA from 1 species
GAUUAUUGGGCGUAAGCGCGCGCAGGCGGUUUCUUACGUCUGAUGUGAAAGACCCCGGCUCAACCGGGGAUGGUCAUUGGAUACUGGGGAACUUGAGUGCAGAAGAGAAGACUGGAAUUCCACGUGUAGCGGUGAAAUGCGUAGAUAUGUGGAGGAACACCAGAUGGCGAAGGCGACUCUUUGGUCUGUAACUGACGCUGAGGCGCGAAAGCGUGGGGAGCAAACAGGAUUAGAUACCCUGGUAGUCCACGCCGUAAACGAUGAGUGCUAAGUGUUAGAGGAUUUCCGCCCUUU